UACGUAGGGGGCUAGCGUUGUCCGGAAUCAUUGGGCGUAAAGAGCGUGUAGGCGGCUCGGUAAGUCCGCUGUGAAAGUCCAGGGCUCAACCCUGGAAUGCCAGUGGAAACUGUCGAGCUAGAGUCCGGAAGGGGCGAGUGGAAUUCCUGGUGUAGCGGUGAAAUGCGCAGAUAUCAGGAGGAACACCAAUGGCGAAGGCAGCUCGCUGGGACGUGACUGACGCUGAGACGCGAAAGCGUGGGGAGCAAACAGG
rnacentral:rRNA from 1 species